CGAACAAAACUGUAAAACAAAAUUGACUCAAUUUUAGGCUGUACGAGUUACAAGUGUGAAGUUGUUUUAUCAGCUUUAAAACAAUGCAUACCAUACAAUCAAAGCCCUAUUUUGCACCUCAAUCAUGGAAGGGGCUGUAAACGUUUAAAGGAGGGAAAGAGGGAAAAGGUGGCAACCCCCUCCGAAGAAUCUGGCAGGAAUGUGAAAUAUCAUAAAACAAGAGUCUUAAGGGUCAGAAUUUUUAUUCAUUUCACUGACCGAACCAUCACGGAGCAUUGAAAGGAAGGGAAUUCAGGAGUUCUCUGUGGAUUCACAUGUAUCACGAGAGGAAAUUUAAAGGGAAGGAGAGAAAAGGUGAACAAAGGGGGAAGGCGAGAAGAGGGAGAGGAGUGACAAAGGAAAAGAAACAAUAGAAAAAGGCACUUCUACUCUUUCAGUAACCAGUCUGAUGCACCAAUCUCUGGAAUUAAAACUAAAUAUAUUUACUGCAACCCAACCACACCCAACAGAGAGAGCAUGUAAACAAAGCCGGUUUCUCUGUACAACACCGACCAGACUCGCUUCUGUCUGUGGGAGCGCCGGGAGUCCCGAACGUAAAACGUGUGCGUAUGGACAGUCUCAUCUACCGGUCUUCACUCACGU